UACGUAGGGCGCAAGCGUUGUCCGGAAUUAUUGGGCGUAAAGAGCUCGUAGGCGGUUUGUCGCGUCUGCUGUGAAAGUCCGAGGCUCAACCUCGGAUCUGCAGUGGGUACGGGCAGACUAGAGUGUGGUAGGGGAGACUGGAAUUCCUGGUGUAGCGGUGGAAUGCGCAGAUAUCAGGAGGAACACCAAUGGCGAAGGCAGGUCUCUGGGCAGUAACUGACGCUGAGGAGCGAAAGCGUGGGGAGCAAACAGG
rnacentral:rRNA from 1 species